AAUCCAUAAUGUGGGCAUUAUUGCAAUAGCCCCUCAAAUCUAUCCCAUGCCUCGAACAAAGACUCUUCUUCCUUCUGCAUAAAGCUCGUGAUUUCUCAGAUGUGCU